AGCAGCCGCGGUAAUUCCAGCUCCAAUAGCGUAUAUUAAAGUUGUUGCAGUUAAAAAGCUCGUAGUUGAAUUUCGGAAUUUGUCGGUCGGUCGGGCUUUAUUGUCCGCACUGGCCUGAUAGAUUCCUACCUUCUGAAUAACCAGCAUGCUAUUAAUUUAGUGCGUUGGGGAAGCAGAGCUAUUACCUUGAAAAAUUAGAGUGCUUAAAGCAGGCUUAUGCUUGAAUAGAUUAGCAUGGAAUAAUAAAAUAGGACGGCUUGGUUCUAUUUUGUUGGUUUCUAGGAUCACCGUAAUGAUUAAUAGGGAUAGUUGGGGGCACUAGUAUUCAAUUGUCAGAGGUGAAAUUCUUGGAUUUAUUGAAGACUAACUUCUGCGAAAGCAUUUGCCAAGGAUGUUUUCAUUAAUCAAGAACGAAAGUUAGGGGAUCGAAGACGAUCAGAUACCGUCGUAGUCUUAACCAUAAACUAUGCCGACUAGGGAUCGGACGAUGUUAAUUUUUAAUGACUCGUUCGGCGUACCG
rnacentral:rRNA from 1 species